rnacentral:rRNA from 1 species
GAGCUCAACUCCAGAACUGCCAUUGAUACUAUCUGUCUUGAAUAUUGUGGAGGUAAGCGGAAUAUGUCAUGUAGCGGUGAAAUGCUUAGAUAUGACAUAGAACACCCAUUGCGAAGGCAGCUUACUACGCAUAUAUUGACGCUGAGGCACGAAAGCGUGGGGAUCAAACAGGAUUAGAUACCCUGGUAGUCCACGCCCUAAACGAUGGAUACUCGACAUACGCGAUACACUGUGUGUGUCUGAGCGAAAGCAUUAAGUAUCCCACCUGGGAAGUACGUUCGCAAGAAUGAAACUCAAAGGAAUUGGCGGGGGUCCGCACAAGCGGAGGAGUAUGUGGUUUAAUUCGAUGAUACGCGAGGAACCUUACCUGGGCUAGAAUGCUGGGAGACCGUGGGUGAAAGCUCACUUUGUAGCAAUACACUGCCAGUAAGGUGCUGCAUGGCUGUCGUCAGCCUCGUGCCGUGAGGUGUUGGGUUAAGUCCCGCAACGAGCGCAACCCCUAUCAUUAGUUGCCAACAGGUUAAGCUGGGAACUCUAAUGAAACUGCCGCCGUAAGGUGUGAGGAAGGAGGGGAUGAUGUCAAGUCAUCAUGGCCUUUAUGCCCAGGGCUACACACGUGCUACAAUGGACGGUACAGAGAGCAGCCACUGGGUGACCAGGAGCGAAUCUACAAAACCGUUCUCAGUUCGGAUCGGAGU